GGGAUUACAUGGGUGAGUCACCACGCCUGGCCUAUUGGUCCUUUUUAAUAAUAUCUGAUGACCACACCCUGUAGAUGUUUUGCUAAGAAAGCUUACAUGUGAACAGUCUCUGAAUAUGACCUCUUUGUCCAAAAUAUGCAGAAAGCUUUAACAUAGUUUUAAAAUGAGAAGACAAAAUCCCUUUUCCCAUGUGUAUAUCAUUUGGAUUUUUCUAAUACUUCUUUUGUAAGAUCAGAAAAGAUUAUGUAUGCAAUAGUGCACUGUAAGCCAUGCAGCGGUUGAUUCUGCAACAGCUGUUUUGCUUUUUCCCUAUUGUGCAGCAACAGUAUGGUUUCUGAAGGUGACCCUAGCCUCAGUUGUGAGUUCUGAUCAGCUUAAGCCAGUCGGUUUUUAAAAAAUUGUUGUUAUUUUUAGAGAGAUGGAGUUUUGCCAUGUUGUCCAGGCUAGUCUCAAACUCCUAGGCUCAAGGGAUCCACCGGCCUUGGCCUCCCAAAGUGUUGGGAUUAUAGGCGUGAGCCAUCGUACCUGGCCCCAGUUUAUAUAUAUAUUUUUAAUUCUUCUUAGUAGGGAUGUGGUCUCACUAUAUUGCCCAGGCUGGUUUUGAAUUGUCCGCAAGUGA
rnacentral:lncRNA from 1 species